rnacentral:lncRNA from 10 species
AUGAGGACAGAAUCCUCAAGACAUAAUCAUCUCCUAAAGCCCCACCUCUUGUGGGUUGAAACUCCAAUGCAACAGGAUUAAGAGGUGGGGCUUUAGGAGAUAAUUAAGUUUCAACAGGAAUUUUGGAGAAACUCACACAUUCAAACCAUAGCAGCUGAGUAACUGCAACUACAUCUGGACCUGUCCCUGGCUGCAGCUCUUGCUCCCUAUAAUCCAUUCUCCACUUGGCAGCAAGAGUGAUCUUUUUAUUGGCCUCCAGUCCCACUGGAUGAUUUCUGGCCCCUGGAUACUUCAAGCUCAUUCUCAUCACAGGGCUUCCUCACCUGGAAUCAUUUCCCUGGAUUUCACGUGGCUGUCUCAUCUCUUUCUCAUCACUCAGGUUUCUCCUCCUCAGAGAAGCUUUCCCUGACCACUCUAGCUAAAGUAGCAACACACAGAGUCUGACUCCUUUUGUUGACGGUACUCAAACUGCAACGCCUUCCUGAUUCUCCAGCCUGCCGGCCUCUCCC